UUUAUAAAUAAAUAUUUGCACGUUAGCAAGCAAAAAAAAAAAAUCCAUAUCCAUGGCUUUAAUAUUCUUACAAGUUCUUGCACUACUUGCAGUGUUAUACAUUCUUCAAGAAUUACACUACAAAUUCAUGAAAAAAAAAGAAAAACCCCCCUCCUGGCCCAAAAGGGCUUCCAAUUAUAGGAAAUCUUCAUAUGAUUGGCAAAAAUGUCCACCAAGAUCUUCAUCAAAUAGCCAAAAAAUAUGGUUCCAUAAUGAGCAUGAGAUUUGGUCUAGUUCCUGUAAUUGUUGCUUCAUCUCCUCAUGCUGCUGAACAAUUCUUGAAAAAUCAUGAUCUUGUUUUUGCGAGCCGACCAAAUAAUAGUGCUGCUAAAUUCAUCGCCUACGAUCAAAGAAAUUUGACAUUUGGAAAAUAUGGACCUUAUUGGCGAAAUAUGAGAAAAUUGUGCACGUUAGAAUUGCUUAGUACUCUCAAGAUCAAUUCAUUUCAAGAAAUGAGAAAACAAGAAGUUACAAAUUUUGUAACUUUUAUCAAUCGGGCAGCUUCUAGUUGUGUUGAAGUUGAUAUUAGUGCUAAACUUGCUACACUAAAUGCCAACAUGGCUUGUUUAAUGGUAUUUGGAAAGAAAUACAUGGAUGAUGAAUUUGAUGAAAGGGGUUUUAAAUAUGUGAUUCAAGAGACUUUGAUUUUAGCAGCAACACCAAACAUUGGUGAAUUUUUCCCCUUUCUUAAUGUGUUUGAUUUGCAGGGAGUUGUUCGUCGUAUGAAGGAAUUGGCAAAGAUUUUUGAUGAAUUUUUAGAGAGAGUGAUUGAUGAACAUGUUCAAGAUUACAAAGAGGAGAAGCAAACCAAAGAUAUUGUUGAUACUAUGAUGAAUAUCAUGCAAUCUGGCCAAUCUGAAUUUGAGUUUGAUCGUCGCCAUGUGAAAGCUAUUUUGCUGGACAUGCUAAUAGCUUCAAUGGAUACCUCAUCAACAUCAAUUGACUGGAUUUUCUCUGAACUUCUAAGGCACCCAAAAGUAAUUAAGAAAUUACAAAAGGAGUUGGAACAAGUAGUUGGCAUGAAUAGAAUGGUGAAUGAAUCCGACUUUGAAAAAUUAGAGUAUUUAGACAUGGUCAUAAAAGAAGGUUUUAGGCUUCACCCCAUUGCACCACUAUUGAUUCCUCAUGAAUCCAUUGAAGAUUGCACAAUUGAUGGCUUUGAUAUACCUAAAGGUUCAAGACUGUUAGUAAAUACUUGGGCUAUUGGAAGAGAUCCAAAAGUUUGGCCAGAACCUGAGAAAUUCAUGCCAGAAAGGUUUAUUGAUAGCUACAUUGAUCUUCGUGGACAUAAUUUUCAACUUUUACCGUUUGGAUCCGGCAGAAGAAGUUGUCCUGGAUUACAAUUAGGCCUCACAACCGUUCGCCUGGUGCUAGCACAAUUGGUUCAUUGUUUUGAUUGGAAGCUACCAAAUGGUAUGAUGCCAAAUGAUUUAGACAUGACUGAGAAAUUUGGUUUAGUUAUGACUAGAGCUCAACAUCUAAUGGCUAUUCCCACUUAUCGGUUGGAUAUAUAGUAAAUAUUACAAAUGUCAAAUGGGAGAGUUGAUCUAAGUCGAAUUAAGUUAGAUCAACCUAAAAAUUAGGGGCCUGAGUGGAUUGGAUUAAGAUGGGCAUAUUUGGAUAAUAGAGGACCUGUCGUUGUGUCUUGUGUGCGCUCAAGUGUGUGAAUGUUCUUCAAUGUCGUUGUUGUGUCUUGAUGUUUUUUCUUUUUUACUAUUUCAUUUUUAUGAUGAAGGAGUUUAGACGACUCCAACCUGAAUAUUUAUUAAAGAAUUGAUGUUAAUUGAUUUCAGUGUAGAAUGAAUGUUCUUCA